rnacentral:lncRNA from 1 species
GAAAAAGCAAGGGGACGGUGCCCAUGCCCCUUAACAAAGGAAUAGUACUAGUGGUCUUCUCUCUUUUUCUCCCUGCUGCUGAUGGAGCUCCGCUGCCACCUCUCUAGGUUUACCGUUAGCUUCCUGUCAGCAUUCCUGAUUUCUCUGGAAUCAUACCAGGGAUGGAACUCAGGACCUUGCAUUUGUGAGGCAGGCGGCAGAACCACUGAGAGCCACUCAACAAGAGAAACAAAUGUCUCAUUACACGUACUCAUGCUCUGGGUCUGUUUCGGGCAGUUCUGAACAACUGCAGCUAAGCCAGCACUACUACAGGAGUAGGAGACACACGGGUUGCUGGGGUCAUCGAAUGAAGCACCAAUCUGGAAGUUAAGAGGGGGAGAAAAUAUUUGUCCUGAUUUCUCUUUGAGAUUGAUAAUUAAAUUUUAAAAAUCCUAUUUA